rnacentral:rRNA from 1 species
AUUGAACGCUGGCGGCAUGCCUUACACAUGCAAGUCGAACGGCAGCACGGAGCUUGCUCUGGUGGCGAGUGGCGAACGGGUGAGUAAUAUAUCGGAACGUACCCUAGAGUGGGGGAUAACGUAGCGAAAGUUACGCUAAUACCGCAUACGAUCUAAGGAUGAAAGUGGGGGAUCGCAAGACCUCAUGCUCGUGGAGCGGCCGAUAUCUGAUUAGCUAGUUGGUAGGGUAAAAGCCUACCAAGGCAUCGAUCAGUAGCUGGUCUGAGAGGACGACCAGCCACACUGGAACUGAGACACGGUCCAGACUCCUACGGGAGGCAGCAGUGGGGAAUUUUGGACAAUGGGCGAAAGCCUGAUCCAGCAAUGCCGCGUGAGUGAAGAAGGCCUUCGGGUUGUAAAGCUCUUUUGUCAGGGAAGAAACGGUGAGAGCUAAUAUCUCUUGCUAAUGACGGUACCUGAAGAAUAAGCACCGGCUAACUACGUGCCAGCAGCCGCGGUAAUACGUAGGGUGCAAGCGUUAAUCGGAAUUACUGGGCGUAAAGCGUGCGCAGGCGGUUUUGUAAGUCUGAUGUGAAAUCCCCGGGCUCAACCUGGGAAUUGCAUUGGAGACUGCAAGGCUAGAAUCUGGCAGAGGGGGGUAGAAUUCCACGUGUAGCAGUGAAAUGCGUAGAUAUGUGGAGGAACACCGAUGGCGAAGGCAGCCCCCUGGGUCAAGGUCGACGCUCAUGCACGAAAGCGUGGGGAGCAAACAGGAUUAGAUACCCUGGCAGUCCACGCCCUAAACGAUGUCUACUAGUUGUCGGGUCUUAAUUGACUUGGUAACGCAGCUAACGCGUGAAGUAGACCGCCUGGGGAGUACGGUCGCAAGAUUAAAACUCAAAGGAAUUGACGGGGACCCGCACAAGCGGUGGAUGAUGUGGAUUAAUUCGAUGCAACGCGAAAAACCUUACCUACCCUUGACAUGGCUGGAAUCCCCGAGAGAUUGGGGAGUGCUCGAAAGAGAACCAGUACACAGGUGCUGCAUGGCUGUCGUCAGCUCGUGUCGUGAGGUGUUGGGUUAAGUCCCGCAACGAGCGCAACCCUUGUCAUUAGUUGCUACGAAAGGGCACUCUAAUGAGACUGCCGGUGACAAACCGGAGGAAGGUGGGGAUGACGUCAAGUCCUCAUGGCCCUUAUGGGUAGGGCUUCACACGUCAUACAAUGGUACAUACAGAGCGCCGCCAACCCGCGAGGGGGAGCUAAUCGCAGAAAGUGUAUCGUAGUCCGGAUUGUAGUCUGCAACUCGACUGCAUGAAGUUGGAAUCGCUAGUAAUCGCGGAUCAGCAUGUCGCGGUGAAUACGUUCCCGGGUCU